UCGAUUUGGAGUUUGUUGCCUAGAGUGAUGGGCUCCGAAGCUAACGCGAUAAAUCGACCGCCUGGGGAGUACGGCCGCAAGGUUAAAACUCAAAUGAAUUGACGGGGGCCCGCACAAGUGGUGGAGCAUGUGGUUUAAUUCGAUGCAACGCGAAGAACCUUACCUGGUCUUGACAUCCACAGAAUUUUGCAGAGAUGCGAGAGUGCCUUCGGGAACUGUGAGACAGGUGCUGCAUGGCUGUCGUCAGCUCGUGUUGUGAAAUGUUGGGUUAAGUCCCGCAACGAGCGCAACCCUUAUCCUUUGUUGCCAUUGGUUCGGCCGGGAACUCAAAGGAGACUGCCGUUGAUAAAGCGGAGGAAGGUGGGGACGACGUCAAGUCAUCAUGGCCCUUACGACCAGGGCUACACACGUGCUACAAUGGCGUAUACAAAGGGAGGCGACCUCGCGAGAGCAAGCGGACCUCAUAAAGUACGUCUAAGUCCGGAUUGGAGUCUGCAACUCGACUCCAUGAAGUCGGAAUCGCUAGUAAUCGUGAAUCAGAAUGUCACGGUGAAUACGUUCCCGGGCCU
rnacentral:rRNA from 1 species